rnacentral:lncRNA from 1 species
AUUUAAUUCCAAUUCCUUAAUUCCUUAAAACCUAAAAAAACAAUUGUAGAAACAAACUGAAGGAAAAGCGAAUGGACAUUGCUUAUCAUCCUGAUCAAGAUAAAACAUUGUUGGUACGGAGACGUGUGGUGCUUUUUUGAUAAAUCAUAAUACCUCUACCUGCAAGGGUAAGCAAAACAACAAAGAAAAACUGUCACUUUACGCUGAUUGCAUCAAUUGAAGCUCCACUGUGGCGCACGUCCAUUCAUCAUCCGGUUGCUUCAUCAACAUGAGAUGACAUGACAGCGGCGGUUGGGACAGCCCUUUUUUCUCUGUUCGAGUUCGCUCUAUUCCAUAGAUCUACGCAUGGACAAACUAAACGAAGGUUUCCACCAAGGUAGAUUUGUAUGAGGUGGUUCGAUCUCAGCCGUCCUUAAGACAGUACAAGUUGGGGUUUUGGAUCAGUGAUGAUCUGAUUCAGUGAACUUUACGAAUGACUUUGAUUCGAUGAACUAAAUAAUGGGGCAGUGCCCCACCUUAUAAAAUCCCACCCUGGCUUCCACCAACUAAAAAAAAAAGAGAAGAAAACUAAGAAAAGAGAGUGUGACAGGGGGAAGAAGUGGCAAAAGUUUUCAACUUUAUUUCGU